GUGCCAGCAGCCGCGGUAAUACCGGCAGCCCGAGUGAUGGCCGAUCUUAUUGGGCCUAAAGCGUCCGUAGCUGGCCGACCAAGUCUACCGGGAAAUCCACCCGCCCAACGGGUGGGCGUCCGGUAGAAACUGGCCGGCUUGGAACCGGAAGGCUCAGAGAGUACGUCCGGGGUAGGAGUGAAAUCCCGUAAUCCCGGACGGACUACCGAUGGCGAAAGCACUCUGAGAAGACGGCUUCGACAGUGAGGGACGAAAGCUCGGGUCUCAAACCGGAUUAGAUACCCCAGUGUCC
rnacentral:rRNA from 1 species